UGGCCAGGCACCAAUCCUCUGCCUCCUUCUGUGCCUGCCUGGCUGCCCCUACCCUGGGGCUCCCUCCUAGCCCCCACCUCACCUACUGGCUCACUGAGACAGAGCCAAACAUGAAAGGGAAGGUGACGGCCUGGCCAUAGGGCCCAGGAAAAUGCAGGUAUCAUUAACAGCCUGGAGCACUGUGGCCUGUCCACUCUCAACCCUCUGCUGCCCACCCCUUCCUGGAAUAGACCCCAGGCCACAUACAGAGGGGGCAAGCCCAAAGCCAGGAUUGAAGGAGAUCCCAUCUUGGGUCUAAAGGAAUGGGGGUGAAGACUGCAUCUUGUCGUUCCAGUUCCACCCCAUUCUGGCAGUGGGAAGCAUGUGUGGGCUUCUACUCUAUGGGAGAUUCGUAGGUCACCAUCAAGGUCACUAUGAUCUAAGUGUUUUUUAGGGCCCCCUGCCUUCUCUGCUCCCCAUCAUGUAGGAGAGAAGACACAGGCUGAGCCCCGGGAGGAGAGAUCAAAGCUUCAUUAGAGAACAGAAACCCUCAACCAUAGCAUGCAGGAACAGCGAAGCCAUGAAGACACAUCCAGGUCUGAGGAAGUCAUUUUAGCCUGGAAAGGAAAAGAAGGAGGGCAUCAUCGGCAUGGGCCUGGGAGCCCCCACACUCAGCACUCCUGAAAGCACACAGACAGGGAGGUCUGGGGUCUGGAAAAACAACAGAAUCUUGGGAAUUAUAAGGCUGAGAAGGAGGUGGGGAGGAGGCAACGUGCCUGGCUGCUGCUCAGUCCUCCUCACUGGCAGGGGGUCCCAGCAGCCUUGUUCCCCAGGCCCAUGCUGAAUUUGCUAGUGAUGCUGGCAUUCCUAGCUGUGGUUCGGCACCAAGGUCCAGUGACACCCCCGCCAGACCCAGCCCAGGGCCAUUUCCCUAAUAGAGACCUAACCAGAGGGCCAGAGUUUGGGGUGCUGAGGCAUUGACUAUGUAAGGGCCCCGACCCACUACCCCAUCCACUGUCCUC
rnacentral:lncRNA from 1 species